rnacentral:rRNA from 1 species
GAUGAACGCUAGCUACAGGCUUAACACAUGCAAGUCGAGGGGAAACGACAUUGGAAGCUUGCUUCCGAUAGGCGUCGACCGGCGCACGGGUGAGUAACGCGUAUCCAACCUGCCCAUCACUUGGGGAUAACCUUGCGAAAGUAAGACUAAUACCCAAUGAUAUCUCUAGAAGACAUCUGAAGGAGAUUAAAGAUUUAUCGGUGAUGGAUGGGGAUGCGUCUGAUUAGCUUGUUGGCGGGGUAACGGCCCACCAAGGCGACGAUCAGUAGGGGUUCUGAGAGGAAGGUCCCCCACAUUGGAACUGAGACACGGUCCAAACUCCUACGGGAGGCAGCAGUGAGGAAUAUUGGUCAAUGGGCGAGAGCCUGAACCAGCCAAGUAGCGUGCAGGAUGACGGCCCUAUGGGUUGUAAACUGCUUUUAUAAGGGAAUAAAGUGAGUCUCGUGAGACUUUUUGCAUGUACCUUAUGAAUAAGGACCGGCUAAUUCCGUGCCAGCAGCCGCCGUAA